rnacentral:rRNA from 1 species
GACGAACGCUGGCGGUGUGCUUAACACAUGCAAGUCGAACGGAAAGGCCCUGCUUUUGUGGGGUGCUCGAGUGGCGAACGGGUGAGUAACACGUGAGUAACCUGCCCUUGACUUUGGGAUAACUUCAGGAAACUGGGGCUAAUACCGGAUAGGAGCUCCUGCUGCAUGGUGGGGGUUGGAAAGUUUCGGCGGUUGGGGAUGGACUCGCGGCUUAUCAGCUUGUUGGUGGGGUAGUGGCUUACCAAGGCUUUGACGGGUAGCCGGCCUGAGAGGGUGACCGGCCACAUUGGGACUGAGAUACGGCCCAGACUCCUACGGGAGGCAGCAGUGGGGAAUAUUGCACAAUGGGCGGAAGCCUGAUGCAGCAACGCCGCGUGCGGGAUGACGGCCUUCGGGUUGUAAACCGCUUUCGCCUGUGACGAAGCGUGAGUGACGGUAAUGGGUAAAGAAGCACCGGAUAACUACGUG